rnacentral:rRNA from 1 species
UACGGAGGGGGCUAGCGUUGUUCGGAAUUACUGGGCGUAAAGCGCGCGUAGGCGGACCUGCAAGUCGGGGGUGAAAGCCCGAGGCUCAACCUCGGAACUGCCUUCGAUACUGCGGGUCUCGAGUCCGGGAGAGGUGAGUGGAAUUCCUAGUGUAGAGGUGAAAUUCGUAGAUAUUCGGAGGAACACCAGUGGCGAAGGCGGCUCACUGGUCCGGUACUGACGCUGAGGUGCGAAAGCGUGGGGAGCAAACAGG